AGGGCGAGGCCUGGGGUAGGGCCAGGAUAAGCCUCACUGGGGCAGGUCCUGGGUAGAGACCAGGUUGGCGGGUCUUGGGGCGGGGCCAGGAUAGGGCGAUCCUGGAAGCUGGGCUUCGGAAGCGUAGCCUUUGGACUGUCACCAAACAAGCCAUUCGUUCAUCAAAAAUACUUAUUAAGCGCCUACCAUGUGCCUGACAAGGGAGAUGUAACGGUGAGAAAAAGUAGGUGUGGUCCAGGCCCUCCAGGGGCUCAGGGGCUCGUGGAAGAAGUGGACAUUGAAAUACUUAUCACACAAAUGAGGAUAAAAGUACGAUAGCGAUAUCUGCCACGAAGGUGAGCAGACAGAGCUAGCGGGGCUUGCAGGAGGAGUUUUGAUCUUGCAGGGACAGGAAGGAGGAGUUAGCUCCUGCGGGGUGGGAUUGGGGGUGGUGGUGAUAUAGACGUGGGGACAGAGUGGAAAACAACAAAAAUAUAAUUAUUUUAGUUCAAAGUUAUUGUGUCUUGAGUUGAAAGGCAGGGCAGUUAGCAACACAGUUCAGAUUUCAGUACUGCCCCUGAAAUCUGAACUGUGUUCAAAGUCUAAAACGUUUACCUUAGCAAAUUCCUCAUAAAACUCCAUUUGGAAGAGUCCCGAGAGCGAAUUUGUUAAGUACACUUGCAAAAGGUAGAUGAGGAGACAGAUAAAAUCUUAUUACCUCUUUCAGAUGAGAGCCACUUGAGCCCUGCUCAGCUAUGAGAAUAAGAGAGGGGAAUUAAUUCUAAUUGAAUACACUUGUUCUCUUAUAGCUGUUGUUCCACACCAGAACCAAAUGAGCGCAAGAUCUGACAAAGAAAAAAAAAGGUUCAUCUUUUAUUCCUCCAAACACUUUCAUUUAAAUCAAGAGGAUGGGAUGUGGUUAUUGCUGUGUUUUUAGGCAGAAUCAACGGUUUCUGGGUCUGAGAUGGUGCAUACACCCUCUCAGUCCCUGUAUCCUGAG
rnacentral:lncRNA from 10 species